rnacentral:rRNA from 1 species
UACGUAGGGUCCGAGCGUUGUCCGGAAUUACUGGGCGUAAAGAGCUCGUAGAUGGUUUGUCGCGUUGUUCGUGAAAACUCACAGCUCAACUGUGGGCGUGCGGGCGAUACGGGCAGACUAGAGUACUGCAGGGGAGACUGGAAUUCCUGGUGUAGCGGUGGAAUGCGCAGAUAUCAGGAGGAACACCGGUGGCGAAGGCGGGUCUCUGGGCAGUAACUGACGCUGAGGAGCGAAAGCGUGGGGAGCGAACAGG